rnacentral:rRNA from 1 species
GUGGGGAAUAUUGGACAAUGGGGGGAACCCUGAUCCAGCCAUGCCGCGUGUGUGAAGAAGGCCUUUUGGUUGUAAAGCACUUUAAGCGAGGAGGAGGCUACCGAGAUUAAUACUCUUGGAUAGUGGACGUUACUCGCAGAAUAAGCACCGGCUAACUCUGUGCCAGCAGUCGCGGUAAUACAGAGGGUGCAAGCGUUAAUCGGAUUUACUGGGCGUAAAGCGCGCGUAGGUGGCCAAUUAAGUCAAAUGUGAAAUCCCCGAGCUUAACUUGGGAAUUGCAUUCGAUACUGGUUGGCUAGAGUAUGGGAGAGGAUGGUAGAAUUCCAGGUGUAGCGGUGAAAUGCGUAGAGAUCUGGAGGAAUACCGAUGGCGAAGGCAGCCAUCUGGCCUAAUACUGACACUGAGGUGCGAAAGCAUGGGGAGCAAACAGGAUUAGAAACCCUGGUAGUCC